AGAAUGGAUUGUGGUCAUUGCUUUUGCAACUCCUUUUUGUUUUAGGUGCUUGUCAGAAGCACACUCACCUUGUUCAUGCCUGAUGUGGGAGCUUUGGGCUAAGAAGUGUCGAGAUGAGUCAGAAACUAUUAAUUGGAUAACCGUUCAUACAAAACCAUGACCAAAGUGUCACAAACCAGUGGAGAAGAAUGGUGGUUGUAACUUGGUUAGUUGUAUCUGUGGUCAAGCAUUUUGUUGGUUGUGCGGUGGAGCUACUGGCCGAGAGCAUACUUGGUCAAGUAUAGCUGGUCAUAGUUGUGGUCCUACAAAGAGCAAGAAAAAAC
rnacentral:sRNA from 1 species